CCUACGGGAGGCAGCAGUAGGGAAUAUUGCACAAUGGGGGAAACCCUGAUGCAGCGACGCCGCGUGAGUGAAGAAGUAUUUCGGUACGUAAAGCUCUAUCGGCAGGGAAGAAAAUGACGGUACCUGACUAAGAAGCACCGGCUAACUACGUGCAAGCAGCCGCGGUAAUACGUAGGGGGCAAGCGGUAUCCGGAUUUACUGGGUGUAAAGGGAGCGUAGCCGGCGGCGCAAGUCUGGAGUGAAAUCCCAUGGCUUAACCAUGGAACUGCUUUGGAAACUGUGACGCUAGAGUGCAGGAGAGGUAAGCGGAAUUCCUAGUGUAGCGGUGAAAUGCGUAGAUAUUAGGAGGAACACCAGUGGCGAAGGCGGCUUACUGGACUGUAACUGACGUUGAGGCUCGAAAGCGUGGGGAGCAAACAGGAUUAGAUACCCUUGUAGUC
rnacentral:rRNA from 1 species